AUUGAACGCUGGCGGCAGGCCUAACACAUGCAAGUCGAACGAGUGGCGGACGGGUGAGUAAUGUCUGGGAAACUGCCUGAUGGAGGGGGAUAAAUCCUGGAAACGGUAGCUAAUACCCCAUACCAUCAUAUGUGCCCAGGUGGGAUUAGCUAGGUGGUGGGGUAACGGCUCACCAGGGCGACGAUCCCUCGCUGGUCUGAGAGGAUGACCAGCCAAACUGGAACUGAGACACGGUCCAGACUCCUACGGGAGGCAGCAGUGGGGAAUAUUGCACAAUGGGCGAAAGCCUGAUGCAGCCAUGCCGCGUGUAUGAAGAAGGCCUUCGGGUUGUAAAGUACUUUCAGCGGGGAGGCGUUACCCGCAGAAGAAGCACCGGCUAACUCCGUGCCAGCAGCCGCGGUAAUUC
rnacentral:rRNA from 1 species